UUUUUUUUUUAUUUAAUAUUUUACGGCUCUGGAUACAAGUCCUUUUUAGCCCAACAUAAGAUACAAAACCUAAAAAAAAAUUAUAAUUUCUUCCCAGUGUUAGAAAUAAAUUUAUAUAAAAUCUUGUAUAGUGCAGGCCUUGAUAAGAUCUCUUCUAGAGACUUCGGUACUUCAUUAAUAUGCUCUUGAAUCUCGUGAAUGAGUAAUAAUCUGUCGAGUCCGUAUUUUCUACAUUUGAAUAUAAUAUGAUUCAAAUCUUCGUCUUCAUUGCAGUGAGGACAUUUUGGGUUGUGAACCAUUUUCAUUCUGUAUAGGUAAAUAACCAGAUAAAAGUCGGUUAAAGUCUACAUAAGGGCCUGGUGUAACUGAUUCAACAACUUUGGGAGACUUUGCCUGGUAUGCCAAUAUCAUCAAGAAUGUGAAUCAUGAUUGAAGGGUCAACAUUAUCAAAUGCACCCUGGAUAUCUAAGAAAGCACAUACUGUAAAGGAAUGGCUAUGGAAAGAAUUUUUUAUAUCUGCAAUUAAGGCAGUAAAACUUUCAGCAGCGCUCCUGCCUUUCCGGAAACCAAAUUGUUGAGAAGGAGGGGACAAUGGAGCAUAUUUUUCAAUAAAUGAUGGUAUCCAUUCAUCAUUUUUUGGGGAUUUAUGUACAGAUUCAGAAUGAAACUUGGACCAAUCUGCUUUAGAAUAAAUAUACUGUUCUGUGGGAAGUCCUAUAUCAUAUUUUUCUAUAGAUGUUUG